CCGGCAGAUUCUUUCCAACCUCGAAUUCUUCUCAGCUUGCUUCGGCAACUUGGUGGGCGGUGGGCGCGGGUGGCGGAGGCGAUUGAAGCUGCUGGCCCAGCAUGUGGUGCACGAGCCCAGUUGCUGUGGUGGCCUUUUGCACCGGGCUUUGGGUCUCUCACCCGGUGCUGACGCAGGGCCAGGAGGCCGGGGGACGGCCGGGGGCUGACUGUGAAGGUGAGCGGUGUGACACCUGCUUGCAUGGCGGCGGCCCCGCGCUGCAGCGCAGCAGCUGUUGGCUUUGGCUUCUCCUGGCCCUGGCUAUAAAUAACAUUUCGCCCAGGAAAUGCAGGCCCUGUCCCUCGUUUUAGAUCGCCCAAGCCCAGCUCGAGUAGAAGCUCAAGCCGGGCCUGGUGGCAACGUGAGGCCACGUUGUAGUUUUGCUGUGAAUAUUAAACUUCAGCAGUAAAAGCUGGUGGGUUUGUAUGUGGAUUAGAGUUUGUGCAAAGACUGCUAGAUUCAGAUGAUACUGGCGCCAGAUUGAUUCUGCUGCUUCCAACCAGCAAGAUUUGCCUCCCCUUGCACAGAAGACGUCUUUCGAGUCCAAGCUAGUUGGUGACUCCGAAAAGGAAAACAAAACAUGGCAUUGAGUUGAGUGGCUUAAAUCAGAAGACAUAGCUAAUAUUUGUUAGGACUCUAUAGGUGAAAGUUGCUUUGCAAAGGAGUACACUGACUCCUUGGGAAAGAGAGGAAUACAAAAGAGUGAUUCCUUUUUGUUCACGGUAUCUCAGCUGUGAACUCGCAGUCAGAAUACGUGAGUCUGUAUCCCACCAAGUACCCUAGCUCUGAGACUUUGGUUUUUGCAAAAUCAGCAUACUUCACUUUAGAGAUCUGUUAGCAAAGGCAAAGAAGGUAAAGAAGCUGUGUAAUCGCAGAGGAAGGACAUAACAGUUUGUAUGUAAAGAAUUCUUGAACCGAUUCUACAAGUCAUUGAUAGACAGAGGAGUUAACUUUUCGCUGAACACUAUAGAGAAAGAAUUGAUCAGCUUUUGCUUGGACACCAAAGGAAAAGAAAACCGCCUGUGCUAUUAUCUAGGAGCCACAAAAGACGCAGCCACAAAGAUCCUAAGUGAAGUCACGCGCCCAAUGAGUGUGCAUGUGCCUGCAAUGAAGAUUUGUGAGAAGCUGAAGAAGUUGGAUAGCCAGAUCUGUGAGCUGAAAUAUGAAAAAACAUUGGACUUGGCAUCAGUUGACCUGCAGAAGAUGAGAGUGGCAGAGCUGAAGCAGAUCCUGCAUAGCUGGGGGGAGGAGUGCAGGGCCUGUGCAGAAAAAACUGACUAUGUGAAUCUCAUCCAAGAGCUGGCCCCCAAGUAUGCAGCAACACACCCCAAAACAGAGCUCUGAUCUCCAACACCAGCACAUUUGUGACUUGUAAUUAGAGAGAAAAAUGACUCUCUAGGAUAUGGACAUGUUGAUUAAGGAUAACUGGGAAUGCAUCAUAUUUGGUCUCAUGCUUUUUGUGUUGGUAUUAUUCCUCAGAAUUUUGUUACGUGGGUUUAUGAGUAACACUAAUACUACUGAUAACUUACAUUUGCAAUGUACCAAAAGCUAAAAGUUCCUUUCUCAUAAGUUUCUUGGAAUAACUAUGUCAGUUUUCAUUGCCUGUCUCCUAAAAGUGACCUACUGACAAAUUGAUGGAGUAAAUUGAUUCCAAGAAAGAAGAAGGCAUCCAGAGACUCCUCUCUGGAUGCAAUUUUAGAAUAUAUUGGACUACAACAAAAGACACAACAGUCAGCUUAUCUAAUGCACAACUUCAAUCCCAAAUACAGAAUCAAAAGUUUUUUUAAAGUAAAUUUUCUGUUUUCACUCUACAUUGUAGCUCUCUUUGGUAUCAGAAAUGGUCAGGCAGGAGUACUCGUUUUUCCCAUUGGAAGAAAACCCACUUAAACCUACUUAAAGAAAAUAGAGAGAUCAAGAAACUGUAUAAGUAUAGCCAAUGUUUGGCAAUUAUAUCAACAUUUAUAUUGUUAAUUGAACCAAGCUCAAGGUCUUUUUCAUUCCUUACAGUCACAUAUCAGACAAGUUUUUGAUAGAAGAUUAAAGCAUAUUAAAAACACUCAUAGGCAACUUGGAACUUUACCAUUCUUAAUGCUCUUUUAUCAGCUUUCAGUUGUAAAAUCAUUUUUGGUUCCAUUUUCUGGCCACAUAAGAAUAAGAAAUCCACAGUAGAAGUGGCUGCCUCUGUGUGGCAGGUACAGCUGGGGAAUAA